rnacentral:rRNA from 1 species
GACGAACGCUGGCGGCGUGCUUAACACAUGCAAGUCGAGCGGUAAGGCCCUUUCGGGGGUACACGAGCGGCGAACGGGUGAGUAACACGUGGGUGACCUGCCCCUUGCUCUGGGAUAAGCCUGGGAAACUGGGUCUAAUACCGGAUAUGACCCUAUGGCGCAUGUUGUGGGGUGGAAAGCCUUUGCGCGGCUGGGGAUGGGCCCGCGGCCUAUCAGCUUGUUGGUGGGGUGAUGGCCUACCAAGGCGA